UGGAAUUCGAGGAGGCGGUAUUGUUUGAACCAGGUUUUGUGCGAGCAAAGAAGGAAGUAAUGCUCCAUAAGUCAUUGGUAUGGGAUCAAACUGUUGUCUUUGAUUCUGCUGAUUG
rnacentral:pre_miRNA from 1 species